UACAGAGGUCUCAAGCGUUGUUCGGAUUUAUUGGGCGUAAAGAGCGUGUAGGCGGCCGGGUAAGUCCGGUGUGAAAACUCGAGGCUUAACCUCGAGAUGUCAUCGGAAGCUAUUCGGCUAGAGUCCGGAAGAGGAGAGUGGAAUUCCUGGUGUAGCGGUGAAAUGCGCAGAUAUCAGGAAGAACACCCGUGGCGAAGGCGGCGACCUGGAACAGUAUUGACACUCAACUACGAAAGCGUGGGUAGCAAACAGG
rnacentral:rRNA from 1 species